UCUAUGUUGUGGGCAUUGGAGUCUGAAAAAACUCACAGAUCGGGUGUUGUCUAUCAGCUUCUUCUCUUGAAUAUCCCACGAGUUUGGAGUUAAAUAACAGCACAACAUUU
rnacentral:snoRNA from 1 species